ensembl:snRNA U2 U2 spliceosomal RNA
AUCGCUUCUCAGCCUUUUGGCUAAGAUCAAGUGUAGAUUCAGCACAAUCCCAACCAUAAUCCCAGUAGGCUAUUUUGUGAAUAUCGACAAACUGAGUCUAAGGUUUCUUUGGAAGGGCAAAAGACCCAGGAUAGCCAACACGAU